rnacentral:rRNA from 1 species
GGGAAUCUUCGGCAAUGGACGAAAGUCUGACCGAGCAACGCCGCGUGAGUGAAGAAGGUUUUCGGAUCGUAAAACUCUGUUGUUAGAGAAGAACAAGGACGUUAGUAACUGAACGUCCCCUGACGGUAUCUAACCAGAAAGCCACGGCUAACUACGUGCCAGCAGCCGCGGUAAUACGUAGGUGGCAAGCGUUGUCCGGAUUUAUUGGGCGUAAAGCGAGCGCAGGCGGUUUCUUAAGUCUGAUGUGAAAGCCCCCGGCUCAACCGGGGAGGGUCAUUGGAAACUGGGAGACUUGAGUGCAGAAGAGGAGAGUGGAAUUCCAUGUGUAGCGGUGAAAUGCGUAGAUAUAUGGAGGAACACCAGUGGCGAAGGCGGCUCUCUGGUCUGUAACUGACGCUGAGGCUCGAAAGCGUGGGGAG